CUCCUAGCCUCAAGUGAUCCUUCUCCCUUGGCCUCCCAAAGUGCUGGGAUUACAAGCAUGAGCCACGAUGGCUGGCCCUGAAUUUGGACUUCCGGCCAAAAAACUUUAUGGAGGCUUGUGUUGAUGUGGAGGUGCAGUGAUGUGGAAGUGGCCUGAGAUGCUGAGCUCACAGGGUCUCUCCCUGUUGCCUAGGCUGGAGUGCAGUGGCACAAUAACAACUCACCGCAGCCUCGACCUCCUGGACGCAAGUGAUCAUAGUUUUAUUUCUAUGCCUUCUGAAGGACUAGAUACAGAAGACAGUAAUAGCUUGAGCCUGAGAUGGGAAAAAACUUUCUUAAAAUCAAAGAAAAUUCAUGAUGGCCAGAAUUUACACACUGCUUCAAUUCUUUUCAUCUAUAUUUUCAAAAAGAUACUUGGUCAUACUUUGCAAAACUUGUCACAGAAAAGAAAUUAUAGUCUGGAUAAACAAAGAGUAAAUUGUAUUCACCUCUUUUUGGACUAUGGUUGACUGGAUAAAUGAGACCACAGGAAACAAAACUGCGGAGAAAGGGGACUUCUUUCUGUCUAGACAGAAGCUGAAGGAUUGCCGAAGUUUUGAAGCUAUCACAGCCAAGCCUCAUCUCCAGCCAAGUGGUUAGCAGACUCCCUUGUGGCAGUUUUACCAAUUGGAUUUUUAAUGUUUCAUUCCAUUUUAGCUCAGCUUCUAGGACAGAAUCUGUGAUAUAGAGGUGAAUAAUAUAUUCAAAUGAAUGAGGACGACAGCUCUGUCAACAGUUCAGAGAGUCCCAGAAAGGGCCUACUGUCUUCUCAUGGUUUUACAUUUUCCUGCCUGCCACCCAUCCUGCAGCGUCUUCCCUGACACAGCCUGAGCUUCUUUAGCACUCCCACCCAAAUUUCCUUUUAUUUCUGUGCCUUUGGCAAUUGCUUUUCCUCUACUUGCCUCCAAUAUGAGGCAGAAAUGUUAAUAUGAUCUCUUACUCUCCUCUCCAGUUCUCUUUGUUUCUCAGAACAUUCUAGAGAGCAUCUAGUAAUAGUGACAGCCCAUGUCUCUGUAUUCCUUGCUUUCCUUCAUCUGAUUAAAUAAUACUGAGGAACAGAAUCUUGGUCCCUCUUGAGUUUGUCCAAAUACCAUGUACAGGCCAGCAUGGCAGCUUCCACCCUUUCUUUGAGGCAGUCAGGUUGGAGGGGGUCCCCUGGAGAAACUCCAACCAGCCUGCCAAUGCGGUGGAGCCUCCAGAAGUCGUACCGUUUGCAGCGGGGAGGAGCUUGGCCCUGCCUCUUCCUGUGGAACCUGGGAUUCAAAGGGUGGGCCGGAAGUGCUCUAGCCAGGGGACUCUGGCCUUAUGGAGGAUCCCUGUUUCCUCCUUUUUUUUUUUUAAACCCUUUUCACCUAAUAAAACCCUGCUUUUCUCACCCUUUAAACUGUCUAUGAGCCUAAAUUUUCAUGGCCGUGGGACAGACAAGAACCCCAUCUUUGCUAAACCAAGGAAAAGUCCUGCAACAUUUUUGGCACGCAGAGUGGGGGCUGGAGAGGAGGUGAGUGA
rnacentral:lncRNA from 1 species